GCGGGGGUAGCCAAGCUUGGUCAACGGCGCAGGACUCAAGAUCCUGUCCGGCAGCGGUUCGAGGGUUCGAAUCCCUCCCCCCGCACCA
rnacentral:tRNA from 1 species